GGAGGGGAUUCGCCAUUGCUUAAGCAAUGCUUCCUCCAUAAGUAACCAGGUGGUGGAAAAUAGAAAGUGGCAUCUGGAACCCAUUAAAGUCAAUCAAGCUAAGAUCAAGUGAGCAACUCUGAAAAGAGGAUGAACCUGAGAGGAUAGCUACUAGCUUGGGAAGGAAAUGGCAUGGUAAUGAAGAAAAAGGAUUUUGGCAUGCAAGUGUUAUGAUUUCAAAUAAAAACUGAACUCUGGGGCACAAUCCUACAUGGACUGAAAACAGAAUUCUCAUCCAUUUUUCAACUCAAAAGAGCAGGCUACAAAUUCCCAAUAUGAGAUCUCCCCUGCCUGGCCUACAGUGUAAAAGAUGUAAUAGGAAAGGGACUCAGUAAGCAGAGGAAGACACAAUCAUGAGUUUCUUAUCAGAGAGUUCAGCAGAUGAUAUAGUCAGCUGGAUUUCAAUACAAAGGUAUGUACUAUUCUUUCCCUUUGGCAGCCAUGAGUGUUGAACUUGCUGGAGAGACAGGACCACUAAGCUGGAGCUGGAUCCUUGUACAACUGAAAUGUACUUGACUGUUGUUUUUCUCCCUCUGAUGUCUGCUGAUAUUCCUUUUCUCAGUGCUAUUAGUACUAGAUUUGUCUAAUUCCCCAAAAUUUAGUUCUUUUUGACUUUUUAUGGAAUGUUGAUAAUAAUCUACCUACCAGGAAUGUCAAUUCAAGAUGAAGACUUCCAGGUUGUUUUGGAGCUUUAUUUUUUAUUCUUUGGGUUUCAUAAUUACUAGAUAUUUUGUUUGUCUUACUCUGCCUUGAUCCUAUCUUGACUGAAUCUAUCUACUUAAUAUGCACACUUACACC